UACGGAGGGUGCAAGCGUUAAUCGGAAUUACUGGGCGUAAAGCGUGCGCAGGCGGUUUGGUAAGUCUGCUGUGAAAUCCCCGAGCUCAACUUGGGAAUUGCAGUGGAUACUGGCAGGCUGGAGUAUGGUAGAGGAAGGUGGAAUUCCCGGUGUAGCAGUGAAAUGCGUAGAGAUCGGGAGGAACACCCGUGGCGAAGGCGGCUCUCUGGGACGGUACUGACGCUGAGACGCGAAAGCGUGGGGAGCGAACAGG
rnacentral:rRNA from 1 species